rnacentral:lncRNA from 1 species
ACUCUCUGAUGAAGGUCUGCCAGGGAAUAAGUUACCUGGUCUCCCUCUCCUCCCCUCUGAUCUCCUGUUGGUGUCACCCAUCAGUUGAAGCCUUGUACCCAGAGGGCAAGGGAGCUUACUGAGGCAGCUGUAGUGACAGCCCGUGAGGCACAGAGGCAGUUAAAUGUGAGGACUGACACAGAGAUUGCAGAUAGAUCAUCAGAGAGAAGCUGCUGGUUAAAAAGCACUUGGUUUACAUCACAGAGGCUCAAGAGAUGUUUUUUGAACAAAGGAAGAGAAUGAGAUUGAAAGUGCUACAGGUUGUACCCACCGGGCCUUCUAUUCUCAAA